AUUGAACGCUGGCGGCAGGCCUAACACAUGCAAGUCGAGCGGAUGAAGGGAGCUUGCUCCUGGAUUCAGCGGCGGACGGGUGAGUAAUGCCUAGGAAUCUGCCUGGUUGUGGGUGAUAACGUCCGGAAACGGGCGCUAAUACCGCAUACGUCCUGAGGGAGAAAGUGGGGGAUCUUCGGACCUCACGCUAUCAGAUGAGCCUAGGUCGGAUUAGCUAGUUGGUGGGGUAAAGGCCUACCAAGGCGACGAUCCGUAACUGGUCUGAGAGGAUGAUCAGUCACACUGGAACUGAGACACGGUCCAGACUCCUACGGGAGGCAGCAGUGGGGAAUAUUGGACAAUGGGCGAAAGCCUGAUCCAGCCAUGCCGCGUGUGUGAAGAAGGUCUUCGGAUUGUAAAGCACUUUAAGUUGGGAGGAAGAGCAGUAAGUUAAUACCUUGCUGUUUUGACGUUACCAACAGAAUAAGCACCGGCUAACUUCGUG
rnacentral:rRNA from 1 species